GGCCAUUGUGCGCAUGACGUUCUGGGAUAAAUCGACAUCAAAGGAUUUAUUUUGAUAUCAGUUACCUCUCGCCGGUAGUCGAGUAAAAUAUGUUAAUAAACAUGUCACCGUCCGGCUCAACUAUGGAAGAAAAGCUUUCAUCCAUAAUGGACGUACUUGCGAAAGCGGCUGUAUCUGAAAUUAGCCAACUGUUCUCGGAAGCGUCGGCUACUCUUCAGUUACAAAUCACUCAGAGCCGCGAAGAAAACGAAGCGCUGAGGACGAGGAUGAAGGAGAUGAGGAGUGAGCUGUUUUCUCUGCGGCUUCAAACAAGAUCGAAAGCAUCGGGUGCGGCAAUUCGUUUUGCUCUGACUCGUGACAACAUCUGCAAACCUGAGACUUCAUCACUGGGAAAUGGCCUAAAACCCCUGAUGGACCACAAGGCGGUUGGACAUUCCCCUUUUCAUUCACGAUCCAAAAGUGAGGCUUCCUCAGUUACAAGUCCAGCAGAGGAGACCCCAAACAUAAUUUUAAUCAGGAUUGAAGAGGAUAUCAGUGGAUGCAGGCCAGCAGUACACAAAGUACUUUGUUUUUCCUCUUUGCAGAAGACUGCGAUGCCUUUGGAGACCGCAGCACCCAGAGCGGAGCCACCUUGGAGAGUCUCCAUGUGGACGGCGCUGGCUCCUCCCACGUGUUCAGUCAAAACGCAGAGCUGCGGAUCCUGAGUGUCCACGGGCGGGGGGGGGGGCAACUGGUGAUGGAAGGCCAUGACACGCUCUUCACCGCUUCCCGAAGUGGAGGCC
ensembl:lncRNA